UAAAAAGGCAAACCUUGGUUUCCGUGUCUAACUUUGACUGUCCGUCUUAUAUGAAAUUUUUUUAUAAUUCGUAUUUUUAUUAUUGUUAGAUGAUAAAACAUGAUUAAUAUUUUAUAUGUGAUUUGUCUUUUUAAUUUUUUUUAUAUUUUUUUUAAAUAAGACGGACGGUCAAACGUUGGACACGGAAAUCAGGGUUUGUCUUUUU
rfam:Oryza glumipatula chromosome 4, whole genome shotgun sequence.